rnacentral:rRNA from 1 species
AUUACAAUUGGCAAAGUUCGAGCGAACAGAGAAGGAGCUUGCUCCUUCGACGUUAGCGGCGGACUGGGUGAGUAACACGUGGGCAACCUACCUUAUAGUUUGGGAUAACUCCGGGAAACCGGGGCUAAUACCGAAUAAUCUGUUUCACCUCAUGGUGAAACACUGAAAGACGGUUUCGGCUGUCGCUAUAGGAUGGGCCCGCGGCGCAUUAGCUAGUUGGUGAGGUAACGGCUCACCAAGGCGACGAUGCGUAGCCGACCUGAGAGGGUGAUCGGCCACACUGGGACUGAGACACGGCCCAGACUCCUACGGGAGGCAGCAGUAGGGAAUCUUCCACAAUGGGCGAAAGCCUGAUGGAGCAACGCCGCGUGAGUGAAGAAGGAUUUCGGUUCGUAAAACUCUGUUGUAAGGGAAGAACAAGUACAGUAGUAACUGGCUGUACCUUGACGGUACCUUAUUAGAAAGCCACGGCUAACUACGUGCCAGCAGCCGCGGUAAUACGUAGGUGGCAAGCGUUGUCCGGAAUUAUUGGGCGUAAAGCGCGCGCAGGUGGUUUCUUAAGUCUGAUGUGAAAGCCCACGGCUCAACCGUGGAGGGUCAUUGGAAACUGGGAGACUUGAGUGCAGAAGAGGAUAGUGGAAUUCCAAGUGUAGCGGUGAAAUGCGUAGAGAUUUGGAGGAACACCAGUGGCGAAAGGCGACUAUCUGGUCUGUAACUGACACUGAUGCGCGAAAGCGUGGGGAGCAAACAGGAUUAUGAUACCCUGGUGGUCCACGCCGUAAACAAUGAGAGCUAAGUGUUUAGGGGGUUUCCGCUCCUUAUUGCUGCAGCUAACGCUUAAAGCACUUCCGCCUGGGGGAGUACGGUCGCAAGACUUAAACUCA